rfam:Canis lupus familiaris chromosome 5, whole genome shotgun sequence.
GGGGGGAGGCCGGAUCCUGGGCUGUGUCCCGGCGCCCUGUGCUCCGGAGCCUGCGCUCUUGGAUUCCCGCUCCCGCCCCGCAGCCCCCU